rnacentral:rRNA from 1 species
UUCGGUCCCUAUCCGUCGCGGGCGUUGGAAAUUUGAGAGGAGCUGUCCUUAGUACGAGAGGACCGGGAUGGACUUACCGCUGGUGUACCAGUUGUUCUGCCAAGGGCAUUGCUGGGUAGCUAUGUAGGGAAGGGAUAAACGCUGAAAGCAUCUAAGUGUGAAGCCCACCUCAAGAUGAGAUUUCCCAUUUCUUUAAGAAAGUAAGAUCCCUGAGAGAUGAUCAGGUAGAUAGGUCAGGAGUGGAAGUACAGUGAUGUAUGGAGCGGACUGAUACUAAUCGAUCGAGGACUUAACCAAU